AGGGAAUCUUCCACAAUGGGCGAAAGCCUGAUGGAGCAACGCCGCGUGUGUGAUGAAGGCUUUCGGGUCGUAAAGCACUGUUGUAUGGGAAGAACAGCUAGAAUAGGGAAUGAUUUUAGUUUGACGGUACCAUACCAGAAAGGGACGGCUAAAUACGUGCCAGCAGCCGCGGUAAUACGUAUGUCCCGAGCGUUAUCCGGAUUUAUUGGGCGUAAAGCGAGCGCAGACGGUUGAUUAAGUCUGAUGUGAAAGCCCGGAGCUCAACUCCGGAAUGGCAUUGGAAACUGGUUAACUUGAGUGCAGUAGAGGUAAGUGGAACUCCAUGUGUAGCGGUGGAAUGCGUAGAUAUAUGGAAGAACACCAGUGGCGAAGGCGGCUUACUGGACUGUAACUGACGUUGAGGCUCGAAAGUGUGGGUAGCAAACAGGAUUAGAUACCCUGGUAGUCCACACCGUAAACGAUGAACACUAGGUGUUAGGAGGUUUCCGCCUCUUAGUGCCGAAGCUAACGCAUUAAGUGUUCCGCCUGGGGAGUACGACCGCAAGGUUGAAACUCAAAGGAAUUGACGGGGACCCGCACAAGCGGUGGAGCAUGUGGUUUAAUUCGAAGCAACGCGAAGAACCUUACCAGGUCUUGACAUCCUUUGAAGCUUUUAGAGAUAGAAGUGUUCUCUUCGGAGACAAAGUGACAGGUGGUGCAUGGUCGUCGUCAGCUCGUGUCGUGAGAUGUUGGGUUAAGUCCCGCAACGAGCGCAACCCUUAUUGUUAGUUGCCAGCAUUCAGAUGGGCACUCUAGCGAGACUGCCGGUGACAAACCGGAGGAAGGCGGGGACGACGUCAGAUCAUCAUGCCCCUUAUGACCUGGGCUACACACGUGCUACAAUGGCGUAUACAACGAGUUGCCAACCCGCGAGGGUGAGCUAAUCUCUUAAAGUACGUCUCAGUUCGGAUUGUAGUCUGCAACUCGACUACAUGAAGUCGGAAUCGCUAGUAAUCGCGGAUCAGCACGCCGCGGUGAAUACGUUCCCG
rnacentral:rRNA from 1 species